rnacentral:rRNA from 1 species
GAUGAACGCUGGCGGCGUGCUUAACACAUGCAAGUCGAACGGAAAGGCCCUGCUUUUGUGGGGUGCUCGAGUGGCGAACGGGUGAGUAACACGUGAGUAACCUGCCCUUGACUUUGGGAUAACUUCAGGAAACUGGGGCUAAUACCGGAUAGGAGCUCCUGCUGCAUGGUGGGGGUUGGAAAGUUUCGGCGGUUGGGGAUGGACUCGCGGCUUAUCAGCUUGUUGGUGGGGUAGUGGCUUACCAAGGCUUUGACGGGUAGCCGGCCUGAGAGGGUGACCGGCCACAUUGGGACUGAGAUACGGCCCAGACUCCUACGGGAGGCAGCAGUGGGGAAUAUUGCACAAUGGGCGGAAGCCUGAUGCAGCCACGCCGCGUGCGGGAUGACGGCCUUCGGGUUGUAAACCGCUUUCGCCUGUGACGAAGCGUGAGUGACGGUAAUGGGUAAAGAAGCACCGGCUAACUACGUG